AAAUAUUUUGGUUUCAAUUAUUUAUUUAUCGGGAAUUGAUUUUGAAUUGGUAGUGUGAAUUAUUGGUGUCACUGUUAUACCGCGCUGGCAAUUAAAUCGAUAGGGUCAUAUAGAUGUCAUUAGGUAAUCGCAAGAGUAAUAUAUUUUAUGGAUAUGGUAAGGGUUGAUGCUUUGUCAUGGUUUUUAUUAUUAUUAUUAUAUAUAAAUGUAAAUAUUAAUGAAAUAGUGUGUAUAUAUAUAUAUAAUAGUUUUGGAAUUACAUGAUGUAUAAUGUAUAUAGGGGUUGAGAGACCUAUGACCGGUCAAAAUUUGGGGGCCAAAGUAACAAAUUAUAUAUUUGGGGUUAUUAUAAACUGUUUUGAAAUUUGGAUAUAUUUUUCUUAGAACUAAAUAUAUUUGGAAGCCUAUUUAUAAAUCAGGUUUGCUGUAAAAAAAAGUUUUUAAAAAUGGAGACAACAUACAAAUGUUUCAUGUUGCUUCUUUCAGAGCCGGCCCGGGAGAAGCGUUGCCAAAAAAGAAUAAAGACAAAGGUAACAAAUAAACAAAGAAGACACAACAGUGAAUUCAUCUAAUCCAAAGUUGUAUGUGGUUUCCGAAAUGCUUCCUUUGUCUUGUUCCGAAUCUCUCUGUCGAUGAACUUGAAAAUGGUGUUUCACGUUCAUUCAAUAAAAAAUAACAACCAUAGUGUACACAGAGACUGA
rnacentral:sRNA from 1 species